rnacentral:rRNA from 2 species
CCUCGGAUCAGGUAGGGAUACCCGCUGAACUUAAGCAUAUCAAUAAGCGGAGGAAAAGAAACCAACCGGGAUUGCCUCAGUAACGGCGAGUGAAGCGGCAAGAGCUCAAAUUUGAAAGCUGGCUCCUUCGGGGUCCGCAUUGUAAUUUGCAGAGGAUGCUUCGGGUGCGGCCCCUGUCUAAGUGCCCUGGAACGGGCUGUCAGAGAGGGUGAGAAUCCCGUCUGGGAUGGGGUGUCCGCGCCCGUGUGAAGCUCCUUCGACGAGUCGAGUUGUUUGGGAAUGCAGCUCUAAAUGGGUGGUAAAUUUCAUCUAAAGCUAAAUAUUGGCCGGAGACCGAUAGCGCACAAGUAGAGUGAUCGAAAGAUGAAAAGCACUUUGAAAAGAGAGUUAAACAGCACGUGAAAUUGUUGAAAGGGAAGCGCUUGCGACCAGACUCGCCCGCGGGGUUCAGCCGGCAUUCGUGCCGGUGUACUUCCCCGUGGGCGGGCCAGCGUCGGUUUGGGCGGCCGGUCAGCGGCUCCCGGAAUGUAGCGCCUCUCGGGGCGCCUUAUAGCCGGGGGUGCAGUGCGGCCAGCCUGGACCGAGGAACGCGCUUCGGCACGGACGCUGGCAUAAUGGUCGUAAACGACC